rnacentral:rRNA from 1 species
AAACUAAAGAGUUUGAUCCUGGCUCAGAUUGAACGCUGGCGGCAUGCCUUACACAUGCAAGUCGAACGGCAGCACGGAGC